rnacentral:snRNA from 1 species
GUUCAUUCCUUAACAUAUACUAAAAUUGGAACACUACAGAGAAUAUUAGUAUGGUCCCUGCUCAAAAAUGACGCGUAACUUCGUGAAGCGUCCCAAAAUUUU